UACAGAGGUGCCAAGCGUUAGGCGGAAUCACUGGGCUUAAAGCGUGUGUAGGCGGGCGGGCAAGUACCUUGUGAAAUCCCACGGCUCAACCGUGGAACGGCUGGGUAUACUGCCUGUCUUGAGCCAGCUAGGGGCGACCGGAACAGACGGUGGAGCGGUGAAAUGCGUAGAUAUCGUCUGGAACGCCAAAGGUGAAAACAGGUCGCUGGGGCUGAGCUGACGCUGAGACACGAAAGCCAGGGGAGCGAACGGG
rnacentral:rRNA from 1 species